ACUCCUACGGGAGGCAGCAGUGGGAAUCUUGCGCAAUGGGCGGAAGCCUGACGCAGCAACGCCGCGUGGGGAUGGACGGCCUCGGGCUUGGUAAACCUCUUUCGCGAUCGACGAAGCUCGUACUUCUGGUACGGGUGACGGUAGGUCGAGAAGAAGCACCGGCCAACUACGUGCCAGCAGCCGCGGUAAUACGUAGGGUGCGAGCGUUGUCCGGAAUUAUUGGGCGUAAAGAGCUCGUAGGCGGUGUGUCGCGUCGGCCGUGAAAACCUGGGGCUUAACUCUGGGCGUGCGGUCGAUACGGGCAUCACUGGAGUUCGGCAGGGAGACUGGAAUUCCUGGUGUAGCGGUGAAAUGCGCAGAUAUCAGGAGGAACACCGGUGGCGAAGGCGGCCCCUGCC
rnacentral:rRNA from 1 species